rnacentral:sRNA from 1 species
CCGCUUCAUACCCACACUUCAUCCUCCUCAGUUUCUCUCCAGGCCACCAUGUCUGCAGGCAACGGCACCCCUUGGGAUGCCACCUGGAAUAUCACUGUUCAAUGGCUGGCUGUGGACAUCCCAUGUCGGACACUCAUGUUCCUGAAACUAAUGGCCACGUAUUCUGCAGCUUUCCUGCCUGUGGUCAUUGGAUUGGACCGCCAGGCAGCAGUACUCAACCCGCUUGGAUCCCGUUCAGGUGUAAGGAAACUUCUGGGGGCAGCUUGGGGACUUAGUUUCCUGCUUGCCUUGCCCCAGCUGUUCCUGUUCCACACCGUCCACUGAGCUGGCCCAGUCCCUUUCACUCAGUGUGUCACCAAAGGCAGCUUCAAGGCUCAAUGGCAAGAGACCACCUAUAACCUCUUCACCUUCUGCUGCCCCUUUCUGCUGCCACUGACUGUCAUGGCCAUCUGCUAUAGCCGCAUUGUCCUCAGUGUGUCCAGCCCCCAGACAAGGAAGGGGAGCCAUGCCCCUGCUGGUGAAUUUGCCCUCCCCCGCUCCUUUGACAAUUGUCCCCAUGUUCGUCUCCGGGCCCUGAGACUGGCCCUGCUUAUCUUGCUGACCUUCAUCCUCUGCUGGACACCUUAUUACCUACUGGGUAUGUGGUACUGGUUCUCCCCCACCAUGCUAACUGAAGUCCCUCCCAGCCUGAGCCACAUCCUUUUCCUCUUGGGCCUCCUCAAUGCUCCUUUGGAUCCUCUCCUCUAUGGGGCCUUCACCUUUGGCUGCCGAAGAGGGCACCAAGAACUUAGUAUAGACUCUUCUAAAGAAGGGUCUGGGAGAAUGCUCCAAGAGGAGAUUCAUGCCUUUAGACAGCUGGACGUACAAAAAACUGUGACAUCAAGAAGGGCAGGAGAAACAAAAGGCAUUUCUAUAACAUCUAUCUGAUCCUAAGAGUAUGUAGGAACAGAAUAGUAAGUCUUUAGUGCCAUAAGAUCUUAACAUCUCACUUCUACUCCUGCUCUCCUAGUUCCCCCCAAAAAAGAAAUACUGA